rnacentral:rRNA from 1 species
UACGUAGGAGGCGAGCGUUGUCCGGAGUUACUGGGCGUAAAGGGUGCGCAGGCGGUCCGUGCAAGUGUGGGGUGAAAUCUCCCGGCUCAACUGGGAGGGUGCGCCGAAUACUGAGUGACUAGAGUGCGGGAGAGGAAAGUGGAAUUCCUGGUGUAGCGGUGAAAUGCGUAGAUAUCAGGAGGAACACCGGUGGUGUAGACGGCUUUCUGGACCGUAACUGACGCUGAGACACGAAGACGUGGGUAGCAAACAGG